rnacentral:rRNA from 1 species
AUUGAACGCUGGCGGCAGGCCUAACACAUGCAAGUCGAACGAGUGGCGGACGGGUGAGUAAUGUCUGGGAAAAUGCCUGAUGGAGGGGGAUAACUACUGGAAACGGUAGCUAAUACCGCAUACCAGCAAAUGCGACCAGAUGGGAGUAGCUUGUUUGUGGGGUAACGGCUCACAAAGGCGACGAUCCCGAGCUGGUCUUAGAGGAUGACCAGCAACACUGGAGUUAGGACAGGGUCAGGACUCCUACGGAGGGCAGCAGUGGGGAAUAUGACACAUUGGUCCGAAGCCUGAUGUAUCCAUGCCGCGUGUAUGAAGAAGGCCUUCGGGUUGUAAAGUACUUUCAGCGGGGAGGCGUUGUCCGCAGAAGAAGUACCGGCUAACUCCGUGCCAGCAGCCGCGGUAAUAC